GAGAAUUGAUCUCUAAUUUACAUUGCGUGCAUUUUCAUUAAUUUUUGCUAGUUAUUUACCUUUAAUGGACAUAUUGGUUGUUUUCCAAUUUUAUGUAUUACAAAUAUUCUGCAGUGAGCCUUCUUAUGCUUGUAUUUUUAUCUCUAUGAUAUUAUUUCGGUAUAAUAAUUUACAAGAAGUGGGUGGGAUGGCUGAAGAUGGGAUAUGCACUUUAAAAAAAUAAGAAUAAAACCAAUUUACUCUUCAAAGAGUUGUAUCCAUUUACAUUACCACUAACCUUAACUAAUACACGCCAUUAAUCUAUUAUUAUCUAGAAUAAUCUGAUAGAAAAAGUGAGUCAAUUAUAUGUCAUGCUUAUUUGGUAUUUCUUUUGUUUAUUGUUUGUUUAUAUGUUUUGUUUCUUUUUCUAUGGCCUUUUACUUUAUGGAUUUUGAUUUUAUGUUAUUUGGCACAUAAAUGCUUGUGGAUGUUAUAUUAUCUUCUUCAAUUGUAUUCUUUGAUAUUUUUUUACCUCAAAUUCUAUUUCACAGGGUAAUAAUGUAAAUACUAUGGUUAUCUCUCUGUCUCUGUUUAAUUAUUCUAUUUUCUUCCUCUUUACAUUCAACUUCUCUAUCACUUUAUAUUUAGGCAUAUCACUUGUUAGAUUUUGUAAUCUGAAAGGCUUUCCCUUUUAUAGGAUAAAUUAUUCCCACUCAUUGUGAAAACAUAUGUGCUUGUCAGAUGCUUAAUUUUUUCCCUUUCUACCAUCCAUUUAUUUUUAUAAUUUCUCAUUGUCUUAUUUUUUCUAGAUAAAAAUUUAUUUUCAUAGAAUUUAAUUAAUAAUUAGUAAAAAUGACUUUUUUCUUCAUGUAGAGGAAAAUGAUCACUUAAAAUGUGAAUAUAUGCAAGAAAUCCAAAGAAAAAAUAAUCAUAGUUUUACUAUUGAGAGAUUUACCUGUUAAUCUUUGCUGUAAUACCAUGAAGUCAUUUUUUAAUGUCUUGUCAAUAUGAAUAGGGGUGUUCUUUUUAUACAGAGAUGCAAUUUUGUUUUAUUUUCCUACGGUUUUUUAGACCAGUGUUAUUUCUGUAUUGUAUUUAAAAUUCCAGUGUUAUAUUAGUUUCAGAUGUAAAAUAUAGUGAUUCAACAACUCCCUUCAUCACCCAGUGCUCAUCAUGCCCCCCUUCAUCCCCAUCGCCUAUUUGACCCAUCCCCCACCCACUUUCCUUCUGGUAACCAUCACUUUCUUCUCCAUAAUUAAGAGUUUGUUUCUUGUUUUUUUUUUUCUCUCUCUCUCUUUUUCCCCUUUGCUCAGUUAUUUGUUCCUUAAAUUACACAUAUAAGUGGAAUUAUAUGGCAUUUUUAUGUCUCUGACUGAAUUACUGCACUUAGCUUUACACUUUCUGGUCUAUCCAUAUCAUAGCACAUAUACCUGGUUUCUUAACUCUGUUGCAGGAUUCAAUUUUUGUAAGUCCUAUACGGUCUUUUGGUAUAUUCCAGACACUGUUUUGCCAAGGUCACCAAUGUCUUUCAAGAUGGACGACUUGAGAUCACUCUUCUGAUCUCUUCUCACUUGACCUAUCAAUAGCAUUUUUCACAGGUGAUCAAUCCCUCCUUAAAUUUGAUUCUUUUUUUUUUUUUUUUCCUGGAGGAAGGCGCUUCCAAAGCAUCAUAUUCUCUUGGUUUUAAACACUUUUUGACAGCUCAUUUUCUAUCUUCUUUUUAAGCUACUUUUUCCUAGAGCCAACCCCGAUCUGCCCUACAGCCCUCUUUCUAUAUACAAGUAAUCUCACGUGAUUUCUGAUGCCUUCAUGCUGUGAAUGGCCCUGAUUUGCCCCUGGCUCCCAUAUGAGUAUCUCGAUCCUGACUCUGGACUUUGUACCUGGCCAUAUCUACUCUCUCUGCUUGUACAUUUAAAAAGCAUCAAAAAAAAAAAUAAAAAAAAUAAAAAAUAAAAAUAAAAAUAAAAAGCAUCUCACACUUAUUUAAAAAAAAAUAAUAAUCAUCAUCUAAACUUAGCAUUUUUCACAAAGUCUCUAGACUUUGCCAUCUCAGGAAACUGCACCACAACUAAGGCCAAAUUCUGUUAUUCCGUGUUAGCCUUUUUAUCACCCCACAUCCAAAUCUAUCAGAACUCUUGUCAAUCUAGUUCAUAACGAUUUCCUUGAUUUGUUAUCUCAUCCCCAUCUCUACUCACCAUUAUAGAUGAAUUGCGUCUAUUAUAGUAUCUUCCCAAUAUUGUCCCUGCUUUCACCUAUCUUUUAUGAUUCUUCAUGUACUAGUUAUGGUGCCAUUUUCUUCUUCCUCCAUCCAUCCUUUCCUUCUUUUUUUUUUUUU
rnacentral:lncRNA from 1 species